rnacentral:lncRNA from 1 species
CAUGGCCUGCUCUUGUGCUUAAACGGCUGUGUAUCUCUGGGCCAGAUUCUGAACCCCUUACUCCUACUGAUCACCAGUUACUCAUAUGAGGAGUCAUACUGACUCUAGUAGUCCCAGCGACCCAGCAAUAUGAGAAAGGAUUUCACAUUCAGGCCCUAUGUAAAUAUCUUUUAGGCUUUUAUUGGUCAUUGGCUUUACACUCAAAAUACAGGAAGGGAUCUUUCAAAAGCACAAAUAGCACAUAACUCUCCAUGACCCAGUGCCCCUAACUGCCACUUCUGCUUAGGAAAAUCUUCCUCAAAUAUAUUUUCUUAUCAUGCAGGACUUAAUCAUUUUGCUAUUGGUUUUUAGUUUCCAUAUAAUAAAAGUCUAUGAAGCAGAUGUGGGUAUUUAAUUUGAUUUUAACUCUGAUUUUGUAUCUGCUACACAGGUAAUAGUAUGAUUGUUAGGCGUUAUUCCAUUUCUUCCUCUGUGCAAUCUUUUUCUGGACACAAACACCACAAAGCUGAGAAAAGACAUCCAAGUAACAGAAUCCUGGAGGUGCAGGGAAUUGUCAAACCACCAGCAGGCUCCUCAGUGAUGCAACUAACCAACGAAGAAGAAAAAGGAUCUGCAAAAAUUCCAGCCGAUUGCUUCUCCAGCAAUAAUUCUAGCAAAAGGAGAUCUUUUCAAGAGCAUGUUUAUAAGUGCAGGGGUAAAGUAAAGGCGGUUAGGUUCCUGUUACCAAUGGACAUGUCAUCUUAUUCCGAAAAUCAAGGUUCUUUCAAAUGCCCACAAAAUCAGGACACAAAACAGUUAAGCACCAUUAUUGAAAAGGAUAUGUGAGCUGGUGAAUUUUUAAAGGCCCACUGAUUCUUGAGAUAAACUAGCCUUAAAUGAUAGCUGCAUGUCAGGUUAUGUUUCUGCAAAGUGCUUUGGCAGGAUGCCUUCAGAGACUCACUAAGACUGUGUUCCAGGUCACUGGCCUGUUGUUUAGCAAGGAAAUAGAAGCCAUGACAAAACCUGUCAGAGGCCUAUAUACUAUGUUGAAACUCUUUGGUAACAAAUAUACCACCACCAAGUAUAUUUUUGCAAGAUCCACAUACCUCAAGAACUACUUUUAAAUAGCAUUUGUUGCAGUGUUACUGUUACCAUGCAACGCAAUUUCUUAUGUUUUGUUGUUGUUCCCGUUGCUAGAAAAGUAUAUAUUGCAAAUCACAAAAUAGAAACAGUUAAAGAACCUGUGAGGUUUUUCUGUGUAUGAAGCUGUAAAACCUUAUAAUAGAAAUAUAGCUGGGCUUCUAUGUUGAGAAUAAUAUAUAACAUUCAUUUGAAUUUUUAUAGACAUUCACCUUGACUGUCAAUAGUCUUUUCUACUCAUUUUUUGUGAAUAUUCUAGUAUAUGAGGUACUGACAGGAAUGUUCACCGAAAUUGCAUUAAGGGACUAUUGAGAGAAUAGAAACCAUGACAGAUCUUAAUAUGAAAAUGCGAUCAAGAGCCUGAUUCUAAGUUAUGCUAAUCUGAUCAGAGAGCAGAAACAUACCAUGUGUUCAGUCAAAACAGCUGGAAUUCAGCAAAUAACUUCAAAUACAAAGAAAAUGUGAGAAAAAGAGAACUGGGGACAAUUCAUGACAAGGAAAAGAGGAAAAACUCAUCAAGUAAAUUAUUUAUUGUGAACUAUUCACCCAGCUCCAGUUAUUUAAAGAAAUAGACAUUGCCAAAACAUUGUUUAAUUUGGCUACAAAUAUUUACAAACUGGAAAUAUUGCACAUACAUUCCUAUUUCUCUAUACACUGUCCAGGUGUCUGCAUAUCACAAACCAUAAGCACGAAGAGGAGGUGUUUAUACACAUGAUUAAUAUAGUAUGUGGCUACAGAAGGAAUUUAUUCCAAUUGACUGAACUUAAACAACAUACUUAUCUAAAUAUUUUAAGAGUAAUGACUGAGAAUUUACUCCAUCAAUUUACAUUCAGCUAAACGUGUUCUUGUAAAAAAGUUUCUCACCAUGUCUCAUUUCUGAAAUUUUAAAGUUUAGUUUAUCAUUUUUAGAAAAAAAUCUUUUAUAUUCUCACUGAGAUGCGAUUGUGUGAUCUCCCUGCUCAUGUUGUUUUUCAUGUUCCGUUUGGGUCCAGUAUAGCUGCUUUGUAAUGUUGCAAGUAGAACUGGGUGAAUAGCUCAAAAACUGUUUCCACAGAUAGUCACUCUAAUAAAAAACUGAUUUCCUUUUGGCUCCA